AUUGAACGCUGGCGGCAGGCCUAACACAUGCAAGUCGAACGGUAGCACAGAGAGCUUGCUCUCGGGUGACGAGUGGCGGACGGGUGAGUAACGUCUGGGAAACUGCCCGAUGGAGGGGGAUAACUACUGAAAACGGUAGCUAAUACCGCAUAACGUCGCAAGACCAAAGUGGGGGACCUUCGGGCCUCACACCAUCGGAUGUGCCCAGAUGGGAUUAGCUAGUAGGUGGGGUAAUGGCUCACCUAGGCGACGAUCCCUAGCUGGUCUGAGAGGAUGACGAGCCACACUGGAACUGAGACACGGUCCAGAAUCCUACGGGAGGCAGCAGUGGGGAAUAUUGCACAAUGGGCGCAAGCCUGACUCAGCCAUGCCGCGUGUAUGAAGAAGGCCUUCGGGUUGUAAAGUACUUUCAGCGGGGAGGAAGGCGGUGAAGUUAAUAGCUUAACCGAUUGACGUUACCCGCAGAAGAAGCACCGGCUAACUCCGUGCCAGCCGCCGCGGUAA
rnacentral:rRNA from 1 species